rnacentral:rRNA from 1 species
ACGAAGGGGGCUAGCGUUGUUCGGAAUCACUGGGCGUAAAGGGCGCGUAGGCGGCUCGCCAAGUGGGAGGUGAAAUCCCCGGGCUCAACCCGGGAACUGCCUUCCAAACUGGCGGGCUCGAGUCCGGAAGAGGGCGGCGGAAUUCCCAGUGGAGAGGUGGAAUUCGUAGAGAUUGGGAAGAACACCGGUGGCGAAGGCGGCCGCCUGGUCCGGCACUGACGCUGAGGCGCGAAAGCGUGGGGAGCAAACAGG